AGUGAACGCUGGCGGUAGGCCUAACACAUGCCAGUCGAACGGCAGCACAGUAAGAGCUUGCUCUUACGGGUGGCGAGUGGCGGACGGGUGAGGAAUACAUCGGAAUCUACUUUUUCGUGGGGGAUAACGUAGGGAAACUUACGCUAAUACCGCAUACGACCUACGGGUGAAAGCAGGGGAUCUUCGGACCUUGCGCGAUUGAAUGAGCCGAUGUCGGAUUAGCUAGUUGGCGGGGUAAAGGUCCACCAAGGCGACGAUCCGUAGCUGGUCUGAGAGGAUGAUCAGCCACACUGGAACUGAGACACGGUCCAGACUCCUACGGGAGGCAGCAGUGGGGAAUAUCGGACAAUGGGCGCAAGCCUGAUCCAGCCAUACCGCGUGGGUGAAGAAGGCCUUCGGGUUGUAAAGCCCUUUUGUUGGGAAAGAAAAGCAGCAGGUUAAUACCCCGCUGUUCUGACGGUACCCAAAGAAUAAGCACCGGCUAACUUCGUG
rnacentral:rRNA from 1 species